UACGUAGGGUGCAAGCGUUGUCCGGAAUUAUUGGGCGUAAAGAGCUCGUAGGCGGUUUGUCGCGUCUGCUGUGAAAACCCGAGGCUCAACCUCGGGACUGCAGUGGGUACGGGCAGACUAGAGUGCGGUAGGGAAGAUUGGAAUUCCUGGUGUAGCGGUGGAAUGCGCAGAUAUCAGGAGGAACACCGAUGGCGAAGGCAGGUCUCUGGGCCGAUACUGACGCUGAGGAGCGAAAGCGUGGGGAGCGAACAGG
rnacentral:rRNA from 1 species